AUAUUUGAAGUCUGGCAGGAGAGACACCAUGAUCACGUAGGUGGUUUUCCCAGGGUGAGGCUCAUACAUUGCACUUGGGAUGUGUUGACCCCUGCAAUUUCAACAAAUGUGGGAAACUCGACUGCAUAAUUUGUGGUAGUGGGGAACUGUAUUCACACUCUCCCCUG